rnacentral:misc_RNA from 1 species
AAGAAGGCGGCGAAACAGGGUCUCUUUAAAAUCGGUCAGAUCGAUGCUGACUUCGGAAAGAUUCAGAGUCGAAAAAACGACAUUGUGGACAAGAACGCAAAAGGUGUCGAUUUCCUGAUGCGGAAAAACAAGGUCACCGUCUUCAAAGGUCACGCUUCCAUCGCAAGUCCCACGAAAGUCGUAGUCGAAGCAAGCGGAGUAAAAACCGAGGUCAAUGCGAAAAACAUUAUUGUGGCCACUGGGUCGGAAGCAAAGUCCCUUCCGGGUUAUA